rnacentral:rRNA from 1 species
CAGUAGCCACGGUAAUACGUAGGGUGCAAGCGUUAAUCGGAAUUACUGGGCGUAAAGCGUGCGCAGGCGGUUGUGUAAGACAGGUGUGAAAUCCCCGGGCUUAACCUGGGAACUGCGCUUAUGACUGCACAGCUAGAGUAUGGCAGAGGGGGGUGGAAUUCCACGUGUAGCAGUGAAAUGCGUAGAGAUGUGGAGGAACACCGAUGGCGAAGGCAGCCCCCUGGGCCAAUACUGACGCUCAUGCACGAAAGCGUGGGGAGCAAACAGGAUUAGAUACCCCCGUAGUCCCUGUCUCUUAUAC